rnacentral:rRNA from 1 species
CCUUAGAGUUUGAUCCUGGCUCAGGAUGAACGCUAGCUACAGGCUUAACACAUGCAAGUCGAGGGGAAACGACAUUGGAAGCUUGCUUCCGAUGGGCGUCGACCGGCGCACGGGUGAGUAACGCGUAUCCAACCUGCCCAUCACUUGGGGAUAACCUUGCGAAAGUAAGACUAAUACCCAAUGACGUCUCUAGAAGACAUCUGAAAGAGAUUAAAGAUUUAUCGGUGAUGGAUGGGGAUGCGUCUGAUUAGCUUGUUGGCGGGGUAACGGCCCACCAAGGCGACGAUCAGUAGGGGUUCUGAGAGGAAGGUCCCCCACAUUGGAACUGAGACACGGUCCAAACUCCUACGGGAGGCAGCAGUGAGGAAUAUUGGUCAAUGGACGAGAGUCUGAACCAGCCAAGUAGCGUGCAGGAUGACGGCCCUAUGGGUUGUAAACUGCUUUUAUAAGGGAAUAAAGUGAGUCUCGUGAGACUUUUUGCAUGUACCUUAUGAAUAAGGACCGGCUAAUUCCGUGCCAGCAGCCGCGGUAAUACGGAAGGUCCGGGCGUUAUCCGGAUUUAUUGGGUUUAAAGGGAGCGUAGGCCGGAGAUUAAGCGUGUUGUGAAAUGUAGACGCUCAACGUCUGCACUGCAGCGCGAACUGGUUUCCUUGAGUACGCACAAAGUGGGCGGAAUUCGUGGUGUAGCGGUGAAAUGCUUAGAUAUCACGAAGAACUCCGAUUGCGAAGGCAGCUCACUGGAGCGCAACUGACGCUGAAGCUCGAAAGUGCGGGUAUCGAACAGGAUUAGAUACCCUGGUAGUCCGCACGGUAAACGAUGGAUGCCCGCUGUUGGUCUGAAUAGGUCAGCGGCCAAGCGAAAGCAUUAAGCAUCCCACCUGGGGAGUACGCCGGCAACGGUGAAACUAAAAGGAAUUGACGG